rnacentral:rRNA from 1 species
UUGGGCAUAAGGCAAUGUGGUGUUCAGGUCGUUCCGCAGAGGCACUGCUCCACUCUAAGUCCAGCAUUGAGUACGGUAUUCUGGACAUGGCCCAUAGAGGGUGAAAGGCCCGUGGGAGUGGAGGGCAGGUCCGACAGUGUCUCUCUGGGUAGACCUUGGAGUCGGGUUGUUUGUGAAUGCAGCCCAAAGUGGGUGGUAAACUCCAUCCAAGGCUAAAUACUUACACGAGUCCGAUAGCGAACAAGUACCGUGAGGGAAAGUUGAAAAGUACUUUGAAGAGAGAGUAAACAGUGCGUGAAACCGCUCAGAGGUAAACGGGUGGAGUUGAACUGCAAUCUCCGAGGAUUCAGCUGGUGAGUGUGGUUUGGGCUUGGUCAGAUUGGUUGAAUGCCGGGGUCUGUGUAGUAACAGGUCUGUGCCUUCGGGUAUGGAUGCGCGAUACACUUAUCAAGUGUUGCGCGCUCUGGUAAUUAUCGGACCAGCUCGCCGGUGCACUUUCUCGGAGUGUUCACCACGACCGGCACUGCUGUUUGGGUGUCGCGGUUAAACCGGUCUUGUAUUGCCUGCGGGCUUUGCUCGAUCGGGAUGGCAGGUAACUCGUUGGCUUGUCUUCGGUUCGCCGUGGACGUUUGGCUCUCGGGUGUAAUAGCUUUCCGCGAUGGUACUAUGCAGUGUGUCGGAGACGGCGGCUUAUGGUGUGUGCAUGCGUGCCUGUUCGGUCGGCAGUUCCGGGUUUGGCUGCUUUGUUGCUUGUUAAAGCAAGCCUGGUGGUAUCCCGGUUCUGUUGGGUCGGCGGUUGCGUGUGUGGCACUUCCCAGGGCCAAUAGUCUGUGGUGUAGUGGUAGACUAUCCACCUGACCCGUCUUGAAACACGGACCAAGGAGAGUAACAUGUGCGCGAGUCAUUGGGCGUAACGAAACCCAAAGGCGCAGUGAAAGUAAAGGUCUGGCUUGUCCGGACUAAGGUGAGAUCCUGUCGUUUUCCACGCGUGGUACCACCAAGCAUCGAGCGGCAGGCGCAUCACCGGCCCGUCCCAUGGCGUAGUCACAUAGUCUUCGGACCAGUGCAACACCGGGGCGGAGCAUGAGCGCACAUGUUGAGACCCGAAAGAUGGUGAACUAUGCUUGCGCAGGUUGAAGCCAGAGGAAACUCUGGUGGA